UUUUGUUUGUUUGUUUGUUUUUUUAUUUUUGUGCGUUUUGCCUGCCUGUGUGUCUGUGUACCAUGUGUGUGCAGUGCCCACAGGAGGCCGUCAGAUACUCUAAAACUGGAUUUGCAGAUGGCUGUGAGCUACCAAGUGGUUGUUGGGAAUUCAACCCAGGACCUCUGGAAGAGCAGUCAGUGCUCUUAACCGCUGAGCCAUCUCUCCAGCCCCAGGUGCCAACUCUUGAGCCAGGGUUUCAGACCAUCGAGCAAUAAUACCAUGUAGCCAAUUCACUCUUUUACUUGGGACAUAGUCUCUUAAUGAUCUGUCCUUUUUCUUCAAAUGUUUCACGUGUCCAGUGGUCUCCAGAUUCCUUAGUUGGAUGCUUUUAUUCUCCUGGAAAGAUUAAAAACAAAACCCUGCCCCAACCCUAACUCUAAGGGGUUCCCUUUUUGGUAGGUUAUAUCUUUCCUAGAGAAAAAUGUUUUUGGCAACAGAAAAAGUAUUAUAUACUCAACAUUUAAAUGUAUUUAUUUUUAGAUCACAAAAGACAUUCACUUUGAAUUUCAACCUGCCUUUUGCAAGUAGCUUUUAAAUUUACAUCACUGUAAUUCUUAUGUGCCUGCCUCUUCCUCCCAAGUGUUAGCAUUAAGGGUGUGUGUCUCCCAAGUUCUGAGAGAUGUGAAUCAUCAACUGGCUAUGGAUCUCUUGUAAUAGGUAUUCUCAUAGUAUUGUCCUGGUUUAAUUUGGUUCUCCAUUACCCCUUAGUUUUUAGUGUUAGGGGUAAACUUCCAAGUUUUUGCAUUAUAUGUAUAAUCUAUCAUUCUUGCUGACUUAUUCUAAAUUUAUUCCUUGGCAAAUGUUAAUAUUCUAGUCUUAAUUAAACAUGAUACCAAUUUGUCCACUAUUUCAUUAUUUUCAGGCCAUUUUGUCUGUCUUGCCUUUGUGAGCUACAUAAAAUUUGAUGUCUUUGCUAAGUUUUGCUAGAUUUUGCCAUGUUCAUUCACACCUCCUAUGACCAGGUGUCUUUGCCAUUUAUCUGCCAGUUGGUGGUUUUCCAUUGCACACACAAUGGUACAGGAGAAACUGAAUUGGAGAAAACAGAGAUUUCCCUUUUGCUUUCCUGGUUGUUUGUCUUAUAGCUAAUAGUGCUAUGCUGAUUUUGUGGUUCCUUCCUCAGUAUUGGCCAUUCCAUCCCGAGUCUAUAGGCUGUCACUUUCCAUCAGUUUCUAUUCCAUCAAUGGCUGAUAAAUCAUCAGUAAACCAUGACUUAGCCAAAUGUUGUGACCAUUCCCUCAGUCCCCACACUUCAAUAGGUGCCUCUUUGGGGCGGGAGGGGUUUAGGUAUAGGGAUUAUAGGCAAUUGAGCUAUUUCCUCAGUGCCCCUUUGCUACCACAUUCUGAUUGUGAAGGAAUUCAGUCAGGUACCAGUUCCACUGUCAAUACCUUUCCUUUCAUGGGUAGGCUUGCUUGUGAAGAGCUCUGCCUUUGAAUGGAUCCAAUCCAUGAUUAUAUGACCAUAAGGUAGUUGGCAAUGACUGAGUAUAAGGUUCUCCAGGCCUCAUAAAAGAUCCAAAUUUGUUUCUCUAAGAAAGAGUAUUCUCUGUAUAUGGAAAGUGUUUGCAAUAGAAGCCAACAGGCAAAUGUUGGUGGGCUCCUUUUUGCUUUAUAAAGAGUCCCAUCUGGUUCAGUAUUGGUCAGGGUUGCAUACAUAGAGAUGAGCUUACCGGCAGUCACAAAAGCUACUCUUUAUUCCUGUCCCCAUUGGAAAUUAGCUGCCAUUUUAUUAUCAUUUUAUUAUUUAUUUUUUAUUUUUAUUUAUUAUUAUUAAAACCCUGUAGGGGUUUUUAUAAUAAUCUGUAAAUAUGGUAUGUGAUUUCUCUAGUGCGUAAUCAUAUCAAUUAGGAGCUGUAUCUGAGUUUUGUCCCUGAGUGGUGGGAUUAAAAGUGUGUACCACCACCUUGUUCACUGUAACUCUAGAAUUUAAAACACAACUAACUCAGAGAUCUGCCUGUCUGAGAUGGGAUUAAAAGCAUGGGUUACUAUUUUAUCUCAGCUCCAAAUCAGUCCAACUCUUCGAGAUUUAGAAAACAAAUUAGAACUCUAGUAAUCCUUUGAAUUUCUUAAAAUAUCUUAAGUCUCUUAACUGUGUUUUUAAUACCAAACAACAAAAAUAUCCAUUUUAUUUAAGAAGAAAACUCAAAAGCAUUUCAUGCCAGUAAGGCAAUUGUGUCUUUGGUAAAUUACCAGUCAAAAAUAUUAUUUCUUAUUUUUACUUUUUCAUGCCUGAUCAAAUGAAAGGCAUUUGUGAGUUUGGACUAAAGGACCAAGCUGUCUGAUGAACUGAACUAUAGCCUCUUCUUAUUCAGGAGAUCUCUCCUAUUCAAAUCUAAUCUUUAUCAAUCUUGAUGGUAUCCAUAGCUUUUCUUCUCCUGUGGAAACAAAAACAAAACCUCUUCCACAACCUACAUAUCCAGGUUUCCCUCUGAGGUCAAUACAUCUUUAAAAUAUACAGGCAAUUUUUUUCUACUUUUCAAUGUCUCUCCACAGCUGUUGUUCUUUUCUCAUUGGUAUUUUAAAAAGUUAAUAAAGCACUGUGUAAUCUAUCUCUAUAAGUUUUUUUUUUAAAGAUUUAUUUAUUAUUAUAUGUAAGUACACAGUAGCUGUCUUCAGACACACCAGAAGAGGGAGUCAGAUCUUGUUACAGAUGGUUGUGAGCCACCAUGUGGUUGCUGGGAUUUGAACUCUGGACCUUCGGAAGAGCAGUCGGGUGCUCUUAGCCACUGAGCCAUCUCACCAGCCCUCUAUAAGUCUUUAUUACCCCUUUCUGUAUAUUAAGCAUAUCCUUUAAAGUGAGAUUAGAUUUUUCUGUAACUGUUUGUCCUGUAGGAUUGUGUGGCUCUUAAAUCUGUUAACAUUGUCCAUUUUCCAUAUUUCUUUUUAAUGACC
rnacentral:lncRNA from 1 species